rnacentral:rRNA from 1 species
UGGGGCGCGGCCUUGUCUGGUGUUGGUGUGAUGGUGCAUUUGCAGGUGGUGUGCGCCGAGGCGCUCAGGGCAGCGGUAUGAGCUCAGUUUUGAGGCCAGCCCGCAAGGGUCUGGUACCCGGACUGGGGGAGUGUUGUUUGCUCUGGGUGUGCUUGAGAGGCAUGGCUCACGGGCUCGUGUGGGUGCCGAGCUGGAAAUCGGUUACGGUCGCAUGCGACACGUGCCGGUGGCUAGUUCGGUCCUGUUCGAGUUCUCAUGCUCAUCCUCGGUGUAAAAGCUGGUCAUCUAUCCGACCCGUCUUGAAACACGGACCAAGGAGUUUAUCGUGUGCGCGAGUCAUUGGGUGUUGAAAACCCAAAGGCGAAAUGAAAGUGAAGGUGCCCGCAAGGGGCUGACGUGCGAUCCGGUCUGUCUCGGCAAGCCGGCGCAGCAUGGCCCCAUCCUAACUGCUUGCAGUGGGGUGGAGGUAGAGCGUACGCGAUGAGACCC